CAGUAGCCGCGGUAAUACGGGGGGGGCAAGUGUUAUUCGGAAUGACUGGGCGUAAAGGGCACGUAGGCGGUGAAAAGGGUGGAAAGUGAAAGUCGCCAAAACACUGGCGGGGUGCUUUCUUGACCAUUUCACUUGAGUGAGAUAGGGGAGAGUGGAAUUUCGUGUGGAGGGAUCAAAUCCUAAGAUAUACGAAGGAACGCCAACCGCGAAGGCAGCUCUCUGGGUCCCCACUGACGCUGGGGUGCGAAAGCAUGGGGAGCAAACAGGAUCAGAUACCCCCGUAGUCCCUGUCUCUUAUACC
rnacentral:rRNA from 1 species